rnacentral:rRNA from 1 species
CCUACGGGGGGCAGCAGCGGGGAAUAUUGGACAAUGGGCGAAAGCCUGAUCCAGCCAUGCCGCGUGUGUGAAGAAGGCCUUCGGGUUGUAAAGCACUUUCAGUGGGGAAGAAAGCCUUGGGGCUAAUACCCUCGAGGAAGGACAUCACCCACAGAAGAAGCACCGGCUAACUCCGUGCCAGCAGCCGCGGUAAUACGGAGGGUGCGAGCGUUAAUCGGAAUUACUGGGCGUAAAGCGCGCGUAGGCGGUCUGAUAAGCCGGUUGUGAAAGCCCCGGGCUCAACCUGGGAACGGCAUCCGGAACUGUCAGGCUAGAGUGCAGGAGAGGAAGGUAGAAUUCCCGGUGUAGCGGUGAAAUGCGUAGAGAUCGGGAGGAAUACCAGUGGCGAAGGCGGCCUUCUGGACUGACACUGACGCUGAGGUGCGAAAGCGUGGGUAGCAAACAGGAUUAGAUACCCGAGUAGUC